CAACUGUGUGUGCAAUCGCCAUUCCUCUAGUGGAAAAGAAUCGAUUCGGCGGUAAAUGAUGUUUUGUUAUGAUUCAUUUUACCUAAAUAUCGAGCGUCGAGGAGGGGCUGGUGGCUUCCGGCUUGGCGUGCAAGAGCAACAACUGCGACACAGAAGAUUCAAAUCAAUCAUCGAUACAGCAGAAGAAAAAAUCCACCUGCAACCUAGCGCCAAACCAAGUCAGCUGCCUCUACUGUUAAUGCAUGUUCCCCUCGGACAACUUCAGGAAUCGAAUGAAUUGCUCAUGACAGAUUCCGCCACGAUGGAGUAUUUUACUGACAUUGACCUCCAAGGGAGAGAUGUUAGAAAACAGAAAAGAAAGGUGCCUCGAUUCAAAGCUAUAAUGUGGCCGAGUGAAAAACAUACAACAUACAUGCAGCUUCCAUCGGGAUUACCAGUGAAAAUAGAAAUCAAGCUAUUCCAUGUGUUGAACGCGAUUGUUGCAUUUGGCAACGUAUUCGCGAUAGGGGCACCUGUGAUCAACGUGAGCCACAUCAAGAAGAGCAAAGAGCGUACGACAUGCAUUAUCGAGGAUUUGUGUUUCGAUGUCCCAUCCGAGUAUGUACGACAUGGUUCCGAUUUCCAUCUUCAAAUCACCUUCGAAGAUGAGGAUGAAUUGAUGUAAUUUGCGAUUCGGGUCGCGUAGCGAGAACGACGAAGUGGGAAGCACUGAGAGUCCAACUGCCACUAACAUCAAACUUCUACGAAGGCGAUAAGUUGCGAAGGCUUGUGAAAAACACCUGCCGCACCCAAGGCCUUUUUCAUAACGUAACUCAAUUUUUGUAUUUCAACCAUGUAGUUCUGCCAAAGUUGUAGAGGAUGAGG